rnacentral:rRNA from 1 species
AGUGAGAAUGCCGGUGUGAGUAGCGAAAGACGGGUGAGAAUCCCGUCCACUGAUUGACUAAGGUUUCCAGAGGAAGGCUCGUCCGCUCUGGGUUAGUCGGGUCCUAAGCUGAGGCCGACAGGCGUAGGCGAUGGAUAACAGGUUGAUAUUCCUGUACCACCUAUAAUCGUUUUAAUCGAUGGGGGGACGCAGUAGGAUAGGCGAAGCGUGCGAUUGGAUUGCACGUCUAAGCAGUAAGGCUGAGUAUUAGGCAAAUCCGGUACUCGUUAAGGCUGAGCUGUGAUGGGGAGAAGACAUUGUGUCUUCGAGUCGUUGAUUUCACACUGCCGAGAAAAGCCUCUAGAUAGAAAAUAGGUGCCCGUACCGCAAACCGACACAGGUAGUCAAGAUGAGAAUUCUAAGGUGAGCGAGCGAACUCUCGUUAAGGAACUCGGCAAAAUGACCCCGUAACUUCGGGAGAAGGGGUGCUCUUUAGGGUUAACGCCCAGAAGAGCCGCAGUGAAUAGGCCCAAGCGACUGUUUAUCAAAAACACAGGUCUCUGCUAAACCGUAAGGUGAUGUAUAGGGGCUGACGCCUGCCCGGUGCUGGAAGGUUAAGAGGAGUGGUUAGCUUCUGCGAAGCUACGAAUCGAAGCCCCAGUAAACGGCGGCCGUAACUAUAACGGUCCUAAGGUAGCGAAAUUCCUUGUCGGGUAAGUUCCGACCCGCACGAAAGGCGUAACGAUUUGGGCACUGUCUCAACGAGAGACUCGGUGAAAUCAUAGUACCUGUGAAGAUGCAGGUUACCCGCGACAGGACGGAAAGACCCCGUGGAGCUUUACUGUAGCCUGAUAUUGAAAUUCGGCACAGCUUGUACAGGAUAGGUAGGAGCCUUUGAAACGUGAGCGCUAGCUUACGUGGAGGCGCUGGUGGGAUACUACCCUAGCUGUGUUGGCUUUCUAACCCGCACCACUUAUCGUGGUGGGAGACAGUGUCAGGCGGGCAGUUUGACUGGGGCGGUCGCCUCCUAAAAGGUAACGGAGGCGCUCAAAGGUUCCCUCAGAAUGGUUGGAAAUCAUUCAUAGAGUGUAAAGGCAUAAGGGAGCUUGACUGCGAGACCUACAAGUCGAGCAGGGUCGAAAGACGGACUUAGUGAUCCGGUGGUUCCGCAUGGAAGGGCCAUCGCUCAACGGAUAAAAGCUACCCCGGGGAUAACAGGCUUAUCUCCCCCAAGAGUUCACAUCGACGGGGAGGUUUGGCACCUCGAUGUCGGCUCAUCGCAUCCUGGGGCUGUAGUCGGUCCCAAGGGUUGGGCUGUUCGCCCAUUAAAGCGGUACGCGAGCUGGGUUCAGAACGUCGUGAGACAGUUCGGUCCCUAUCCGUCGUGGGCGUAGGAAAUUUGAGAGGAGCUGUCCUUAGUACGAGAGGACCGGGAUGGACAUACCUCUGGUGUACCAGUUGUCGUGCCAACGGCAUAGCUGGGUAGCUAUGUGUGGACGGGAUAAGUGCUGAAAGCAUCUAAGCAUGAAGCCCCCCUCAAGAUGAGAUUUCCCAACUUCGGUUAUAAGAUCCCUCAAAGAUGAUGAGGUUAAUAGGUUCGAGGUGGAAGCAUGGUGACAUGUGGAGCUGACGAAUACUAAUCGAUCGAAGACUUAAUCAA